UUGUAAGAAUAAUUUUGAUUCAGUUACAGUUCUGAUUUCUGAAAGUUCGGCUUUUACUCUAAAAACAUUUUUUUUAAAAAUGAGGCACUUUCCGAUAUUCUGUAUUGUUUUGAUAUCUUUUGUUUUGCUCACUAAUAUAGAAGCAGCACCUGCCGGCUCAACUCCUAAAACUGCUGAUAAUCAAGUUGCAAAUAGUCCGAUAAGAGGUAAAUAUAUU